rnacentral:rRNA from 1 species
AGUGAACGCUGGCGGUAGGCCUAACACAUGCAGGUCGAACGGCAGCACAGUAAGAGCUUGCUCUUACGGGUGGCGAGUGGCGGACGGGUGAGGAAUACAUCGGAAUCUACUUUUUCGUGGGGGAUAACGUAGGGAAACUUACGCUAAUACCGCAUACGACCUACGGGUGAAAGCAGGGGAUCUUCGGACCUUGCGCGAUUGAAUGAGCCGAUGUCGGAUUAGCUAGUUGGCGGGGUAAAGGCCCACCAAGGCGACGAUCCGUAGCUAGUCUGAGAGGAUGAUCAGCCACACUGGAACUGAGACACGGUCCAGACUCCUACGGGAGGCAGCAGUGGGGAAUAUUGGACAAUGGGCGCAAGCCUGAUCCAGCCAUACCGCGUGGGUGAAGAAGGCCUUCGGGUUGUAAAGCCCUUUUGUUGGGAAAGAAAAGCAGCAGGUUAAUACCCCGCUGUUCUGACGGUACCCAAAGAAUAAGCACCGGCUAACUUCGUG